rnacentral:rRNA from 1 species
AUUGAACGCUGGCGGCAGGCCUGACACAUGCAAGUCGAGCGGAGAUGAGGUGCUUGCACCUUAUCUUAGCGGCGGACGGGUGAGUAAUGCUUAGGAAUCUGCCUAUUAGUGGGGGACAACAUUCCGAAAGGAAUGCUAAUACCGCAUACGUCCUACGGGAGAAAGCAGGGGAUCUUCGGACCUUGCGCUAAUAGAUGAGCCUAAGUCGGAUUAGCUAGUUGGUGGGGUAAAGGCCUACCAAGGCGACGAUCUGUAGCGGGUCUGAGAGGAUGAGCCGCCACACUGGGACUGAGACACGGCCCAGAAUCCUACGGGAGGCAGCAGUGGGGAAUAUUGGACAAUGGGGGAAACCCUGAUCCAGCCAGUCCGCGUGUGUGAAGAAGGCCUUAUGGUUGUAAAGCACUUUAAGCGAGGAGGAGGCUACUGAGACUAAUACUCUUGGAUAGUGGACGUUACUCGCAGAAUAAGCACCGGCUAACUCUGUGCCAGCAGCCGCCGCGGUAA